rnacentral:lncRNA from 10 species
AAUAAUUUCUAAACAUUUUUAUUUCAAAUCUCUUUUCACCCCUCCCCAAAAAGACAUGGGUAGGUACAGCAAUCAUAAAAAGGAGAUACAAACACAAGAGUCAAAUGUCUCUCGCACUGACACUUACAAAAAACUGGGAAUUGUACAUGGGGUUUCCAAACAGGACCUGCAGCAGCUACUAACGUCCCUUUACGAGAGUCAAACAUGCCUAUUAAUACAGUAUAUACAGACACCCCAUUCUGGAACUAAUCUACAGGGACAUCCCUAACCCCACCCCCUCUAUCCCCAGAAAAAUACCAAAACACACCCAAAGUGCAUUUGUUUUGUUUAUAUCAAAACCUCUUUCCCUUUCCCCAUCCCACCCUCAGACCCCUCCCACCCCAUUUAAGAUUGGCCUGCAAGUCUAUUUUAACCAUUUAGUAUUUUUUUAUAGUUUAUGAAAAUAAAUUAUACAGCAACUAUUUUAAUAAAUUAAGCACAAAAGGAAGGGUAAAAGAGGAAAACUAAAUGGGAAGACAAAAGCCAGGCCACGCUUUGGCUUGGAGGAGGGCAGAGGGGGGGCUAACGGAGACAGAAGUGGUUGCAAGGGGUGGCUCCCUUUCUGGUGAAAAAUUGGCAACCACCCCGAGCCCAGAAUGACACCCCUCUUCAUCGAGUUUCUUAAAAACAACCAAAAACGUACAGCAGUGGCUAUGCCACAGGCAGCACCAGUGUGGGCAUUCCAACAGCCAGCUACCCAAAGUGGCACCUGGACCCUACCUGUCCCUUGGACAGGUUCUGGGCCUAAGAGUGAGGGACAGGUCCCCGCCCAAGGGAGCACCAGAGAUGGAGGAGUGAGAGCAGGCUUCUGCUCCACCUGAGCUGGUUAGGGAGCUCAGGACGAAACUCUGAGCGGGGCAGUGUGGUAUGUGAUGAUCCCAGAGUCUGAGGAAGAGUGUCCUAAGUUCCUCACACUCUAUCUCCAGGAGGAACUACGAUCGCAGUCCAGCUGCAACCAAACAUGCAUGUCUUCCCGCCGUGGCUGGCUGCUUUCUGUCUGCCCCUCCAGGCCUCUUGGUGUUGCAGAGGAGGGGGUAGGAGAGGGAAAGGGAACGGUUCCAGGUCACCUCUAAACCCUCUAGAAAUGAAAUGGGAAUGAAGCAGGUCACAAACUCAGCAUGCAGGGCUGGCUUCCCGGGAGGUAGAUGGGAGUGGGACGGGAUAGCAGGUGUGGAGAGGACAGGAAGGGAAACAGGAAGAAACUGAGCGACACCUGCCAGGAAGGUCAAGAAGCAAUGAAAAGGACAAAGACAAUAUGAAAUCUGCAUGAAAAGACAGGUCCUUUUCUGGCAGAUUAGAGAAUCAACAUUUUCAGUACAACUCAUAACGCUACUUUCCUAACUGCAGUACCCGAGUCCCCAGCGCCUGUCUCUAUGAUCCAACCCCCAUUUCACUGCUCCCAAGACUUUGCUCUCCAUUUUAUCAAGGCCUCCAAUCAUUUUGUGCUGAGUGUGAAGGCUCCAAUGUGAAAGCAGGGUCUACCACAGGGACGUGCAGACUUGACCUUUGUGACCCAAUCAUUUUAUAGCUAUCGCAGCAUAGGAGGGGGGCACACUUUUCUUUCUUUUUUUUUUCUUUUUCUUUUUUUAAUAAAAAAGGUUUUACUCCCCAGGAGCAAAUAAAUCAUUUUGAACUACUGAUAAACACUGCUGCAGUGAAAAGAAAGAUGGCUACAUGUAUGCAAUAGCACAAAUUCAGUGGAAGAACAGCUGUGUUGACGAUUAGAGAUAAAAAUCACUUAUCCAUUCCCUCCUUUCCCACAAACCAAACCGAGGAUUCCCAUAGGGAAAAUGUCUAACUCAAUAGCUCCUCCCUUACAUGACAGGGGGUGUGUCAUUCUCUUAACAGUGGAAAACAAAUGCCAGGUCUCCGCCCAGUGGAGAUGCUCUUAACACCCUAACUGGUAGCAAGACUUCUGCAAAUGAGGACACACACACACACACACAUGCAUGCAUAUGCACACACACAGACUCAGACCUCCUUCCAGCAGCCAUAGAGCUUUAUCCCAGUGUCUUGUCCACUAACUUUAGGGCUCCAAAGCUAAGGGAGCGAGGCAGCAGGGAAGGGAAAGAUCUAACUGAAGGAAAAAGCUCCUCCUCGCCCCAGUUUCUGCAGGGAGCAGAGGGCUUCAAGCAGGCCAUGCUUUCCUGGGGGCCCUGGGGUGAGGGCUGACACGGCUGGAUUCCAGGGCACUUCUGGUUCUACUCCCACCUCUCACCCCUAGACCUAGGAACUAUAAUUACCCCCACUCCCUAAUUCUUCCUGGAUGUCUGUUACAGGGGUGUCUGCAGCUAUCUCCACACCAUCCCCAACCUCAAGGGGGGCUUACAUCAUUAGCCCAAGUGAAAUGUAGGGAAGGGGAAGGAGCAGGAGCCAUGCAGGAGUUUCCUUUGGCCACACCUUUCUCCUCAGGGAGGUGGCGCCACCUCCAUGGCUCAGGUUCCAAGAUGUAACAUUCACUUGGCCUAGGCACAGGCAGGUGACCAGGCAAAGGUCAGCACCAAUGGUCCCAAAGAGCCGGUUGCCACCCACUUACCUAGUGCCCACACCAAAACCCCCGCCCGCCUACUCCUGUGCUACCAACAUAGCACACGAAUUUCAAGUAACAGCAAGUUGUAGCAGUAGUUGUCACUGGCUCACAGCAGCUCACUCUCAACCUGAGGAAGGUUACAGUAGAUCAGUCAUAAACAGGUGAGGGUUAUGCAGGCACUGAGGCCACUGAUAUCACCCACCCACAACUUAGGAAUCAACAGUGGGUCCCUAGAUGUAAGCCUUUUCCAAUUUGUGACUUGAAAAUACAACCAGAAAGAAAUUAUUUAUUUUUUUUGAGAUGGAGUCUCACUCUGUCGUCUAGGCUAGAGGGCAGUGGCGCAAUCUCGGCUCAGUGCAACCUCCGCCUCCUGGGUUCAAGCAAUUCUCCUGUCUCAGCCUCCCAAGUAGCUGGGACUACAGGCGCAUGCCACCAUGCCCAGCUAAUUUUUGUAUUUUAGUAGAGAUAGGGUUUCACUGUUUGGCCAAGCUGGUCUUGAACUCCCGACCUCAUGAUCCACCCACCUCAGCCUCCCAAAGUGCUGGGAUUACAGGCGUGAGCCACCGCGCCCAGACCUAGAAAGGAAUACAUUUAAAUGAGCUCUACACAGUUCAACACGACACUCCCCAGGAGGAGAAAGGUGGGUGGUGAGGUUGGGUCACACCUCCUCAGUUGGUUUGUUUUGUACCUGAAUGUAUGAGUUCUCCAGAAGAAACCCCAGUAACACAGGGGGUGCAGAGGCUCUGCCUCCCUCACAUGGCCUGAGCUGACCAUAGUGAGGCCCUGGCAAUGGGCAGGAGCCUUGCUGACUCCUUUGGGCUUUGGGCUCCACCUCACCAUCAUAACCCCUUGGCACUCAGGUCUGCCUGGUGGCUGGGAAGCUUCCAUCUAGAAAACCGCACUGGAAAGGAUUCUUUAACCAUGUUGCUCUAACAGGGCUGUGCACUGUUCAGUACAUGCCAUGCAGAUUUCUGCUUCCUUGCUUUUGCUCAUGUGUUUUUCAUCUCACUGUCUGUCCUGCCAUUGACUACAACCCAAAGCCUCAGAGGCACAGAACUUUCCCAGACCAUCUGGUCUACCCUGAUCUUAUCUACUAUAAACGUCUUUAGAUAGUCCUUGAUUUUCUGCUUGAUGUGCAGCAGUCACCUAAAAGCUCCCUUAGGCCACAUAUUACGUCUUUUACCUUUUUUGUUUUCUACAAUAUCUAGCGCAAAGCCAGGCACACACACACUAAAAAAUAAUAUUAAAAUUAUGGGUGGUUGAAAAGGAACAAAAAAAAGAAAGAUCCCAGGCUGUAUAUCAGCCACCCAAGGAUCUCAACAGAUUCCAACUUCAGGCUCUAUAUUGGGGUGGCACUUCCUGCAAGAUGGCGAGUUAUAUUACUUGUACUCUCACGAGGCAACACUCACAUGCUAAGCCAAUUUCUGGGAUCACAAUCUUGCUUAGUUGAUAAUACUACCAUGGAAGCCAAGGAAAGAAGAGGUACCACAUGACAAAUCAGAGGUGGGCUGUGUUUAUGGUGCACAGCUCAUCUUGUGGGCCACCCUUCCACAGUCAGGUAAUGGUGCAAGUUUCCUCCCUGUUCAGCUACAAGGAGGAAGACUGGUCACUCCACGUGGGACUAAGGAAGAAGGCAAUGCUCCCAGAUGAGGCAGUCCUAUAAAUUACCAGGACACUGGGGCCCCACCCAAACCAUCAGGAAGCCACAAACCUGACAUUAGUAUCUGUCUUGUGACACGAGGCAACUAUAAGCAUGGGGAACCCAGAAAGAGAGUCCCAUGGAACACACGCAAAGGAGUCAUGAAGACCCAACAGCUCCACUGUUACAUCUCAAUAGCAAACCUCUCCCCAGAGCAGCUCUAUAAGAAAGCAAACUCACAAUGUCAUAUGAAUUGGCCAUGGCCAGCUGCAGAAACCAUUAAAGACCAUUGGAGUUUUUCUCCCCGCUCCUCCUGAAAGCAGGGACAGGCAGCUCUCAAAUCGGCAUCUGGCAGACUUUCCAGUGAGUGGAGACCAGCAGGAUCUGAUCCGGAAAUGUCUGGGUUGCUAGAAUGAACACAAGAAAAUACAGAAGCCCUUGCUACCUCCCAUCCCAGAAGUGGGAUGGCAGUGAUAAACCUAAAAACGUGAGAUGCGAUGCUCUCCUCUGACCUAAGGAAAUCCCGUGAGGGCUGCGUUCUGAGAGCUUCCUCUAGGAAGAGCACAACUGUGGGAGCUGUAUUUCUCACCUUCCUCCACAUUCCCCCUCACAAGCUGACAGGCACAUGGAAGUAACACUCACUCCUAAGUCAUGAGUACAGUUUGCCAUGAAGAACCUGGAAACAUGCUCCAUUAAAUUCAGCAGCCCAUGACUGGCUCUGAACCGCCCAGGUGAUGGGAAACACGAUUGCCAUGACAGCUGGCAGAAGCAAUAGGGAUGCUGUUACCAUGAUCAGAGUGACAUGUACAGUUAUCUCAAGGGGCAAUGGGUUGAGAGCAGAGGAAGAACGGGGUUAACUUCAGGUCAUGGAACUUAAGGAAUUAAGUAAAUCACAACUAGUACAGCUUCCAUGAGAGGUGUUUCUGAACUCAGGUGAACUCCCAGUCCUUUGCAAACCUCAAGCCCCUCCUCCCAUCUUCCAGGCCCACAGCACAGACUCUAACUCUGCCUUUGGCACCAGCUGAAUGGCCGUCCCCUGUUCCCUCCUCCCACCCCUUCUUUGGACCUGCUCACCCUUCGCACCACUUUCAAUCCAACGGGCACAAACCCCAACUGCCUUCAAGGUGAGUUUUCCAUACCAAGUAAUAUAAAUAUCAAAAACAAAACUUCUGAAAAAGAAACAGUGUUGAGACUUCUUCCAGUUUUCCAAGGAGCCCCUCCAGUCCUAAGAUGCCCAGGGGUGGGUGUGAGGUGGAG